rnacentral:lncRNA from 1 species
AAGAAAGGGGAUCGAGAACAGAAACCGUAAGAACAUAUAAAUCAAGAACCCUCAUGGAUUUUUUUAUUUUUUUUUCCAUUUUUUUUACAAUUAACAAGUAACCAAACAAAUUUGAGAACCUAAAAUUAAGAAUCACCCAACCAAACUUCAGAUUCAUAAUAUAUUUUCUCAGCAUCCAAACAGAGGAUAAUGCAACACAUGAAGAAAUAAAGACGCAAAUGAAGAAAAGAAAGGGGAUUGAGAAAACAGACGAUGGUGGGUUUGAACUCCUUGAGCUUCUGCAGCUUCUUCAACUCCAUCUGAAGCUUGUCUUGCUCUCGGCCCUUCAUUGCGAGAUCUUCCUCCUUGGUCUUCAAGAUCUCAUCCUUCUCCUUCAGGAGCUCCAAGGUUUUCUCCUUCUCGAGUUUCAUCGCUUGCAGCUUCUCUUGCAUUUCUUCGAGUUCUUUCUCGAAUGACUACGGUUGGGUCUUCUUCUGCUUGGCCUGUUUCUUAGAAGCCGCAACUUUGGCCGACUUCUUGGGGGAGGUUCGAGUCUGAGAGAGGCUUGCUUGGUUCUCCUUCGUUGGGUUGGAGUCCGAUGGUGUUUGGAUCGGGCUUGGAGCGGCGUCAGAGACCUUUCCUGCGAGGAUAUUGGCUGCAUUUCCAGAUGGGUUUUUGUCCUUGAGUGCCCUUCGGAUGGCCCUUGGCUUCCUGUUGGGCAUUUCGGCGAUUGCGGUGUCAUCCAUGGCAGAGAGAGAGAGGUCAGAGGUCGGCGAUUGCGGGAUCCCAGCUAUUCCAUACAAUCUACUUUUGGAUCCCUCACGUGCAGGCUAACGGAAAAGGACGAAAGUUAAGUUUUGGGGUUGAAAUCCGAAUAGACUUUACCACGAAUCCGAAUGUUUUUACUACAUGGUCUAUCAUCUGAAUACCUUAAGACCACGAGGACUAUUUAUCCAAUUUAGCCAUAAAAUUUUGAUGGAUAUUUUGGAUAAACCACCAAUUAAACUUUGAGUUUUGAGCCUCUUCCCCCUUUAUCUUGCGUCUCAUCUCUUCUUGGAAUGGGACUGUGGUCCGUGUGAAUUAACCCUACGAUGACUCCAUAGAUAGGAGCUGACAAUUGACUUGACUUGGCUGCUUCUUUGCUCCUCUGUGUGCAACUUCAGAAUUCUUGUGUUCACUUCUAUAAAAAGCACUUUAGUUAGUCAUCUUCAUCCAUUAGCUGACAUGUAACUACUACAAAAUGAAGACAUCUUUUCCUUCACGAUUAAAGGUUUUACACGGCAUGUUUUCUUUAAACAUAGCUGCACCUGCACCAUCUUUCAAACAUGGCUGCUGCUUUUGACAUUAAUAUAGUUAAGCAUAGCUGCUGUGUAGCAUCCUUGGAUUCCUUGCAUAGAUGUUGCCUUAGGAGACGAUUUGAGGAGGAGGGACCAACGAGUUCUUGUUGGCUUCUGCUUUCUCUGUUUCCUUUUGAAUUUCAGAAAAG